rnacentral:rRNA from 1 species
UACGUAUGGUGCGAGCGUUAUCCGGAUUCACUGGGUUUAAAGGGUGCGUAGGCGGGUAAGUAAGUCCGUGGUGAAAUCUCUGAGCUUAACUCAGAAACUGCCGUGGAUACUAUUUGCCUUGAAUAUUGUGGAGGUGAGCGGAAUAUGUCAUGUAGCGGUGAAAUGCUUAGAUAUGACAUAGAACACCAAUUGCGAAGGCAGCUCACUACACAAUCAUUGACGCUGAGGCACGAAAGCGUGGGGAUCAAACAGG